rnacentral:rRNA from 1 species
AAGCUCGUAGUUGAAUUUCGGGGUCAGUAGGUUGGUCGUGCCACCGGUACGUACUGGUCUCACUGAUUCCUCCUUCCUGAUGAGCUGUAAUGCCAUUAAUUUGGUGUUGCAGGGAAUCUGGACUGUUACUUCGAAAAAAUUAGAGUGUUUAAAGCAGGCUAACGCUUGAAUACAUUAGCAUGGAAUAAUGAAAUAGGACGUUCGAUCCUAUUUUGUUGGUUUCUUAGGAUUGACGUAAUGAUUAAUAGGGAUAGUUGGG